CAGUCGCCGCGGUAAAACGAAGGGUGCAAGCGUUAAUCGGAAUUACUGGGCGUAAAGCGUGCGUAGGCGGUGAGUUAAGUCUGCUGUGAAAUCCCCGGGCUCAACCUGGGAAUGGCAGUGGAUACUGGCUCGCUAGAGUGUGUCAGAGGAUGGUGGAAUUCCCGGUGUAGCGGUGAAAUGCGUAGAGAUCGGGAGGAACAUCAGUGGCGAAGGCGGCCAUCUGGGACAACACUGACGCUGAGGCACGAAAGCGUGGGGAGCAAACAGGAUUAGAGACCCGUGUAGUCCCUGUCUCUUAUAC
rnacentral:rRNA from 1 species